rnacentral:misc_RNA from 1 species
UUUGCCUUUUAGAUAAUGAGAGCCGAAGAUUGGCCGGAGGAUUCCAAAAAUGGGCCUAAAGAUCAAGGAAAUUAUGAUGGCCCUCCAGGUAUGGAUCCCCAAGGAGCACUCGAUACAAAUUGGCAUCAAGUCGUGGAAAGCUUCGAUGACAUGAAUUUAAAAGAAGAGUUGCUGAGAGGAAUUUACGCUUAUGGUUUCGAAAAGCCAUCGGCUAUUCAGCAGCGUGCUAUUAUGCCGUGUAUCCAAGGACGUGAUGUCAUAGCUCAAGCCCAGUCUGGAACUGGCAAGACAGCUACUUUCUCCAUUUCUAUUUUGCAACAAAUUGACACUAGCAUUCGCGAAUGCCAAGCAUUGAUUUUGGCCCCAACCAGGGAGUUGGCCCAACAGAUUCAAAAAGUGGUGAUUGCACUUGGUGACCAUUUAAAUGCUAAAUGCCAUGCUUGUAUUGGUGGAACUAAUGUCCGUGAAGACAUUCGUCAACUGGAAAGUGGUGUGCAUGUGGUGGUUGGUACUCCAGGUCGUGUAUACGACAUGAUUACUCGUCGUGCACUCCGUGCUAAUACAAUUAAGCUCUUUGUGCUUGAUGAAGCUGAUGAAAUGUUGUCCAGAGGUUUCAAAGAUCAAAUUCACGAUGUAUUCAAGAUGCUGUCUGCAGAUGUUCAAGUCAUAUUGCUCUCUGCUACUAUGCCCGAUGAUGUACUGGAAGUUUCACGUUGCUUCAUGAGGGAUCCUGUCCGCAUUCUUGUGCAGAAAGAAGAGCUUACCCUGGAAGGUAUUAAGCAGUUCUUUAUCGCCAUUGAAAUGGAAGAGUGGAAACUUGAGACCCUCUGUGAUUUAUAUGAUACCUUGUCAAUUGCCCAAGCUGUCAUUUUUUGCAACACCCGCCGCAAGGUGGACUGGCUCACUGAGUCAAUGCAUGAGCGUGAUUUCACUGUGUCUGCUAUGCACGGUGACAUGGAUCAACGUGAGCGUGAAGUGAUCAUGAGACAAUUCCGUACUGGAUCUUCUCGCGUCCUCAUCACCACCGACUUGCUAGCGCGUGGUAUUGACGUACAGCAAGUCUCGUGCGUCAUCAACUAUGAUUUGCCAACUAACCGCGAGAAUUACAUUCAUAGAAUCGGAAGAGGCGGUCGUUUCGGCCGUAAGGGAAUCGCCAUCAACUUUGUUACUGAAGCUGAUAAACGAGCGUUGAAAGAUAUUGAGGAGUUCUACCAUACAACUAUUACGGAAAUGCCCAGCGAUGUGGCUAACCUCAUCUGAGGAGCCUACGCUUCCCGGUUUAUAUGUGUCCUGCAUUCUAUCUAUUGCGAUAUUUAUAAGAAGUUCUACCUGAGCCUGUUGAAACGCACUUUGGACACAACUAUGUGGAAAUAAUAAAUCAAAAUUUCCUCAAUCA